rnacentral:pre_miRNA from 13 species
UAAUAUGUUUGGGCCAAAUUUCAUUUUGUUAUGAUAGACUCAUACAUAACUGCUUAGAAUCACGUGGUAUCGCAAGUCCAACUACAUUAUUGACAUUGAAAAACAAAGAACAAGCAUUUUGUAUUAUUUCACCAUUUU